CCUACGGGGGACAGCAGUGAGGAAUAUUGGUCAAUGGCCGGAAGGCUGAACCAGCCAUGCCGCGUGAAGGUCAGUGCCCUAUGGGCGUUAAACUUCUUUUGUGCGGGAGCAAUAAUGGUCACGUGUGGCCAGACGAGAGUACCGUACGAAUAAGCAUCGGCUAACUCCGUGCCAGCAGCCGCGGUAAUACGGGGGAUGCAAGCGUUAUCCGGAUUUAUUGGGUUUAAAGGGUGCGUAGGCUGUGAGGUAAGUCAGCGGUGAAAUGCCCCCGCUCAACGGGGUGAAGUGCCAUUGAUACUGCCUGGCUGGAAUGCGGAUGCCGUGGGAGGAAUGUGUGGUGUAGCGGUGAAAUGCAUAGAUAUCACACAGAACACCGAUUGCGAAGGCAUCUCACGAAUCCGCGAUUGACGCUGAUGCACGAAAGCGUGGGUAUCAAACAGGAUUAGAUACCCGUGUAGUC
rnacentral:rRNA from 1 species